rnacentral:lncRNA from 1 species
AAACCAAACUUGAAGAGAGAACUGGAAGCAGAAUCUCAGAAAAUUUCUGAGAUAACCAGGAUUGGUGAGCGGAUGGCAAAUGCUGCUCGGCAUAUUUUAUCUUCCCCUGCAACCAAUGGCAACGAAGCUUUAAAGAAGAAAAAGGCUGAACGGUUUGACAUGACUUUUGACGACAUGGAUAUUGAUUCAUCGGUUGAUGAGGUACAAACGGCAAUGAAGCUGUAAAGAAGAAAAAGGCUGAACGGUUUGACAUGACUUUUGACACCAUGGAUAUCGAUUCAUCGGUCGAUGAGGUACUCUCUGAGGUUCAAUCUACU